rnacentral:rRNA from 1 species
AUGCCUCGCCCCCAGCCGCCGCCGGCCGUCGGGCGCGCCUCCCCCGCCUCGCUCCCCCCUCCUCCUCCUCUUUGCUCCCGCGGCGCGCUCGCGCGCGCCGGGGAGGAACCCCUCCUGCCGCGGCCCUCACCCGCCUUCCUCCCCUCUCCCCCCGCCGCCGCCGGCGAGCUCCGUCGGGCAAAGCCUGGUGGGCAUGGUGGCGGCGGGGCCUCUCUUCCCCCUCCGCUUGUAGGCGCCGACGCGGGGCGGCCCCUUCGAGCGGUGGCGCUGGUUGUCGCGGGAUCCAGCGGCGCGGCGGCGGUCUCGCUGGGCGACGGGGUGGCCUGCUGGUGGCGGCGCUCCAGCUCCCUUCGUUCCGCGCGCGGCGGGGCGGCUGCGUUGCUCCCGUUUCGGGAGGUGGCGCGCGGCCGGUCUCUUGCCGGAUCCGGCCAGAUCUGGCGUUGGGGGCUGGCCGGCGGCGCGUGGAUCCGGUGGUGCGUGCCCGGCGGCUCUGGUGCUUGGAGGUCGUCGGGCGACACGGGUAGGGCAGCGGUCGGGCGUGGCCGCUGCUCCGGUCGUGGGCGGCGGCGUGGGGAGGUCUCGGUGGUGACCUCUCGGUGUCGUGGCGGCUUCACGGUGGCUCGACGGAUCUGUCCGCGGCGCGGCCGGCUUCUCUGGCGUCGGCUCGCCUGUGGUCGGGCCGUCUCGACCUUCACCCCAUCUCCUCGUCGCCCGGGCGCUUCUCCCAUCAAUGGGCUGGUCCUCUCCCGGUUGCGGUCCAUCGCUCAUCUCGCGCCCGGUGCCGCAGGACCGAGCUCGUCUCGCACACGAUGCAGCAGGACCGAGCUCGUCUCGCACACGGUGCAGCAGGACCAACCUCGUCCCCUCUCGAUGCUGCAGUACCGAGCUCGUCUCGCGCUAGGGGCAGCAGGACGGGUCGGUGGAUGCCAGUUCUGGCCGACCUAUUGGGUCUCAACGCUGGGGGUGGCCUAG